rnacentral:tRNA from 1 species
CGGGGCGUAGCUUAGCCUGGUAGAGCGCUACGUUAGGGACGUAGAGGUCGUCGGUUCAAAUCCGGUCGCCCCGACCA